rnacentral:misc_RNA from 1 species
GAUGAAGAACGCAGCGAAAUGCGAUACGUAAUGUGAAUUGCAAAUUCAGUGAAUCAUCGAGUCUUUGAACGCACAUUGCGCCCCCUGGUAUUCCGGGGGGCAUGCCUGUCCGAGCGUCAUUGCUGCCCUCAAGCACGGCUUGUGUGUUGGGCCCCGUCCUCCGAUCCCGGGGGACGGGCCCGAAAGGCAGCGGCGGCACCGCGUCCGGUCCUCGAGCGUAUGGGGCUUUGUCACCCGCUCUGUAGGCCCGGCCGGCGCUUGCCGAUCAACCCAAAUUUUUAUCCAGGUUGACCUCGGAUCAGGUAGGGAUACCCGCUGAACUUAAGCAUAUCAAUAAUCGGAGGA